rnacentral:rRNA from 1 species
GACGAACGCUGGCGGCGUGCUUAACACAUGCAAGUCGAACGCUGAAGCUCAGCUUUUGUUGGGUGGAUGAGUGGCGAACGGGUGAGUAACACGUGAGUAACCUGCCUCCUUCUUUGGGACAACGCCCGGAAACGGGUGCUAAUACUGGAUAUUCACUGGUCUUCGCAUGGGGGUUGGUGGAAAGGGUUUUUCUGGUGGGGGAUGGGCUCGCGGCCUAUCAGCUUGUUGGUGGGGUGAUGGCCUACCAAGGCUUUGACGGGUAGCCGGCCUGAGAGGGUGACCGGUCACAUUGGGACUGAGAUACGGCCCAGACUCCUACGGGAGGCAGCAGUGGGGAAUAUUGCACAAUGGGCGCAAGCCUGAUGCAGCGACGCCGCGUGAGGGAUGGAGGCCUUCGGGUUGUGAACCUCUUUCGCUCAUGGUCAAGCCGCAACAAUGGUUGUGGUGAGGGUAGUGGGUAAAGAAGCGCCGGCUAACUACGUG